rnacentral:lncRNA from 1 species
UUUUCUCAUCAUCAAUACGGGCUAGAGAAGCACAACUUACUAGACGGUGUCACAGAGACAAGGUUAACAUAAGUCUAUUGAACUCGACUGUACCUCCAUUUUGGAACCAAGUCAAGAAAUUAAAAAGAUUCUUUCAUAUUUUGAUAGAGUCUGGAGCUUUCAUAGUUAACAUGUCAGCGAAGUUAGAUCUUCAGCAUAGAUAUAAGAUACUGUUCAGCCGGACAUAGUCACGGCCAGAUUAUGGUAGAAGUUUUGUUUGAAUAACUAUAAUAAAUAAAAAGAUAGGUACCUGAUUUGCCGGGAACCCAACGGAAAUAGUAGCAAACAAGUAACUGCUUCCUUAUUUAUUUCUUGAAUAUAUUACAGAGAGAGAGAGAGAAUUUCUGAAAAUUCAAAGAGAGUUUCUAAACUCUUGCCUUCCUUCAAGGAUGAGGCAUCUAUAUAUACUAAAAAAAAGAAUCUUGCACAGUAAUAGAUGGGUCCCUGUGCACAGUGUUUUUACUAUUACAGAUAAGAUUUUAUCAUAUCAUGUCCAUCAGUCAAAUAUUGUCUUUGCCUUUCCAUUUCUUGAUAAAUUCUUCAGCUUUUACAAGUUCUUCUUCUUCUAAUAGAAUUUCUGGAGGUUGUGCAUCAGUAAUAUCUUCAGUAUUUGUUUCGGUACUAUUCAUUGAUAUAUCUGAAUUUUGCUCAACAGUUUGCAGCAAUUUAUCCCUGACCUCGGAUAAAUAUUCCUCGAUCAUUUGCAUUUUAUUGCCGCCAUGUGCAGAUAGUCUUCGAGAAACAUAGUUAAGACUUUUUUC